GUGUCAGCAGCCGCGGUAACACCGGCAGCUCAAGUGGUGGCCAUUAUUAUUGGGCCUAAAGCGUUCGUAGCCGGUUUGAUAAGUCUCUGGUGAAAUCCCGCAGCUUAACUGUGGGACUUGCUGGAGAUACUAUUAGACUUGAGGUCGGGAGAGGUUAGGGGUACUCCCAGGGUAGGGGUGAAAUCCUAUAAUCCUGGGAGGACCACCUGUGGCGAAGGCGCCUAACUGGAACGAACCUGACGGUGAGUAACGAAAGCCAGGGGCGCGAACCGGAUUAGAAACCCCCGUAGUCC
rnacentral:rRNA from 1 species